rnacentral:rRNA from 1 species
UACGUAGGGGGCAAGCGUUGUCCGGAAUUAUUGGGCGUAAAGAGCUCGUAGGCGGUCUGUCGCGUCUGCUGUGAAAACUCAGGGCUUAACCCUGAGCUUGCAGUGGGUACGGGCAGACUAGAGUGCGGUAGGGGAGACUGGAAUUUACGGUGUAGCGGUGAAAUGCGUUGAUAUCAUCAGGAACACCGGUGGCGAAGGCGGCUUUCUGGGUCUUACCUGACGCUGAGGAACGAAAGCUAGGGGAGCGAACGGG